UUCUGGUUCUCUUUUCUCUCUGCAGAAACUGUGAACCCAGGGAAAUCCUCUUUGUCUGGUGUUGUGGCAACUUGGAGGAGGGGAAGCGAAGAUGCAGUCAGAGCACAGCACCACAUGGAAACUGCCAAGGCCUGGGCUUCCACCCUCUGAAGUAACAGCCUGAGUCAUACCAUCGCCACUUUUUGUCACAGCUGGAGCAACUAGGAUGCAGGGCACCAGGUCCCUAAACUGCACAUAGCCGAGGGUCCCUGGGCCCAGCUCACAGAACCAAUUUUUCCUCCUAAACCUCUGGGCCUGUGAUGAGACGGGCUGCCUUGAAGACCUCUGAUAUGCCCUGGAGACAUUUUUUCUAUUGUCUUGGGGAUUAACAUUUGACUCUUCAUUACUUAUGCAAAUUUCUAAAACCAGCUGGAAUUUCUCCUCAGAAAAUGGGGUUUUCUUUGCUAUUGCAUUGUCAGGCUGCAAAUCUCCCAAACUUUUAUGCUCUGUUUCUCUUUUAAAACUGAAUGCCUUUAACAGCACCCAAGUCACUUCUUGAAUGCUUUGCUGCCUAGAAAUGUCUUCCACCAAAUACCCUAAAUCAUCUCUCUCAAGUUCGAAGUUCCACAAAUCUCUAGAGUCGGGGCAAAAUGCUGCCAGUCUCUUUGCUAAAACAUAACAAGUCUCACCUUUGCUCCAGUUCCUAACAAAAUCCUCAUCUCCAUCUGAGACCACCUCAGCCUGGAUUUCAUUGUUUAUAUCAUUAUCAGCAUUUUGGUCAAAGACAUUCAACAAGUCUCUAGGGAGUUCCAAACUUUCCCACAUUUUCCUGUCUUCUUCUGAGACCUCCAAACUGUUUCAAUCUCUGCCUGUUACCCAGUGCCCAAGUCGCUUCAAAAUUUUGGGGUAUCUUUUCAGCAAUGACCCAUUCUACUUGUACAAAUUUACUGUAUUAGCCCAUUUUCACAUUGCCAAUAAAGACAUACCAAUUUACAAAAGACAAUUGGCAAUUUACAAAGGAAAAUGUUUAUUGGACUUACAGUUCCAUGUGGGUAGGGAAGCCUCACAGUCAUGGUGAAAGGUUAGAGGCACGUCUCACAUAGUGUCAGACAAGAGAAGAAGGCUUUUGCAGGAAAACUCCCCUUUUUAAAACCAUCAGAUCUCAUGAGACUUAUUCACUAUCAAGAGAACAGCAUGGUAAAGACCUGCCUCCAUGAUUCUAUUACCUUUCACCAUGUUCUUCCCACAACGUGGGAAUUCAAGAUGAUAUUUGGGUGGAGCCAUAGCCAAAGUGUACCACUGGAUUAGCACUUUUAAUUUCCUUCAAGAACUUAUUCUUUACUAUCAAAACUUGGCUGUUUGGCACAAGAGACCUAGCUUUCAGCCUAUCUCAGCUUUUGACUUGACUUUCUCACUAAGCUUAAUUAUUUCUAGCUUCUGAUUUAAAGUGAGAGAUGUGUAACUGUUCCUUUUACUUGAACACUUAGAGGCCAUUGUAGGGUUAUUUAUUGGUCUAAUUUCAAUAUUGCUGUGUCUCAGAGAACAGGGAGGUUUAAGGAGAGGGAGAAAGAUGGGAACAACUCUUUGAUGGAGCAUCAGAACACACACAAUAUUUAUCAGCUAAAUUCCCCUUUUGUAUGAACACAAUUUAUGAUGCCCCCAAAAAGUUACAAUAGUAACAUCAAAGAUCAUGACUAAUCACCAUAACAGAUACAAUAAUAAUGAAAAAGUUUGAAAUAUUGUGAGAGUUGACUAAAAUGUGACACAGAAAUACGAAGUGAUCAUAUGCUGUUAGAAAAAUUGGCACUGAUAGACUUGCUCCGCUCAGGGUUGCCAUAAACCUUUCACUUUAUAAAAUAUGCAAUAUUUGCAAAGUUCAAUAUAAAGAAGCUCAAUAAAACAAGGAUACUUGUGAUUACCUUAUUAAGCAGAACAUUUUGUUCAGCCUCCAAUAUGCUUUUAAAUCUUGCAUAUCCUCUAUAUUACUUUCUUUGUGUUAUAUUAAUCUUGAUUAUGUGGUAUGGUAUGUCCUGCAUAAUAUGUCAUAAAUAUUUAUUUUCAUGCCUGUAUAUCCAUUGUUAGAAUUGUCAUUAUUGCAUAGAAUAUGGAAUAGGGACCUCAGCAAGAGAUAGCAUGAUGGGGCAAGAAUUAUUCAGGAAAGAAUAAAGACAGUCUCAAGCUCCUCACAACUCCUGAAUGAUAGGAAAAAACAUAUCACUAUCUCCAGUAGGCCACUGAUUAUAUCCCCAAAGUUUUGCAGUUAUGUACGGGUUCCCAAAGCUAUUGAAGAAUGGGGUGCAGCUUCACUUGUAUGAGAUGAAAGUGGACAUAUGUGGCCAAUUGGACAUCAGAAAGAUGUGAUAAAAACUCCUGGAGUUCUCAUAUACAUACAGAAUUGCAGAAGAUAAGGUCUGUUACAAUUGGAUUUGUCAUGUCUUGCCGAUGUAAAGCCUCUUGACUUCAAGCUAGAUUGACCAUAGAAUUCUGCAGAAAGAGAAAAAUAUGGGUUAGGUAUGAAAACUUCUGUUUCAACUAAGACAUGAACAGCCAUACUGAAAGACAUUUUACCCAAUUCUAUCCCAUAUUUCAUUCUGAGCUGGCCAGCAACAUGGUCACGAGAAGUAGAGAAAAAGUCAGCAAGCAGAUUGCUGUGGCCUGAGAGUGCUGCCCAAGUCAUGAGAGGGGGUUUUAACAGACAGAAAUAGAGAAUAAUGGUUAAUUCUCCAUCUCUGUAAAAUUACUAUUAAAAUCUCAUUAAUUGGUAAAUCAUUUAGAUGAAGAUAGGGGUAAAAGAUGGUAAAUGAGUGAGGUUUUAAUAGUUAUUUUAAAUUUAAUUUAUUGGGAAGUUCUGAG
rnacentral:lncRNA from 1 species